rnacentral:rRNA from 1 species
AGGACGAACGCUGGCGGCGUGCUUAACACAUGCAAGUGGAGCGACGAACCGGGCUUCGGCCCGGGGCAAAGCCGCGAACGGGUGAGUAACACGUGGGUAACCUGCCCCAAUGACCGGGACAACCCGAGGAAACUCGAGCUAAUACCGGAUGUGUUCACUGUCCACAAGGACAAUGAGAAAAGGAGCUUCGGCCUCCGCAUUGGGAUGGGCCCGCGGCCCAUUAGCUUGUUGGUGAGGUAACGGCUCACCAAGGCUUCGAUGGGUAGCUGGUCUGAGAGGACGAUCAGCCACACUGGGACUGAGACACGGCCCAGACUCCUACGGGAGCAGCAGUGGGAAUCUUGCGCAAUGCACGACAGUGUGACGCAGCAACGCCGCGGUGGGGAAGAAGGCUUUCGGGUACGUAAACCCCUUUGAAGGUAGGAACGAAGCGUACCGGUAGCGUAAAGUA